AGAAAGCUUGACUGCUUUCUUGCUGUUUCUUUGGGUUCCAAACUGAGAUUCAGAAUUGAGUUGCUUGUGGAACUGGCAGGCUGCUGACACUGCUGGGUCUCUAUUUACACGAUUUUAUGGUCUGGGGUUAAAGUGAAGGGGAAGAAUUUAGUGCAGGGUGGCUUGAGUCAAAGACAGAGGGGAGAAUGAGAUUUGGGAGAGAAACGCUUGGCAUCUAUCUCCCGGCUGGCCAAAGGGACUGGUUUCGAAAUCCUAUAAAGAGGGAAAUUAAGUCCAGAAGCCACAAGAUAAGGUCUGAAAAAGGAGAUGCGAGAUUCUGGGAAGAAAUUGUGGUUCUUCAGGAUAUCUUAUGAAGUGAGACAGAACUGGAGCGAGUGCCAUUUUCACCACACCUAGCCCAUCCCCAAACUCACGGUCCGCUGCCACAAACCCAGUGUACUUUGGGUCCCUGACCACCAUGAAUGACAGCUAAGGCCCUCUAGCCAUACUUGAUGAGGGUGAGGGUGGGGCAGCUGCAGAGCCACAGUCAAGAGCCUCCCCAAGAAAGCAGAGCGGAAGAACACGAGCAACGUUGUGCCUGUGCGCCUGUGCGCAUGUGCCGAAACCCCGAGGACUCCCAGAGGCAACUAGGAGAAGCUUUGAGAGGGACUGUGAUUCUGUGGAAUGGGAAUUCACGAUCUGCGUUUACAGAGUCGAAGCUUUUAAAGGUUAGAAUUCACAUUUGACUACAAUUUCAACAAGGAAGGUGAUCUAUGAUCAGAAUUAAGCAGCUUCAAGGAGGACCCUUAAUACUUCUUAAGGAGCUACCAGACAGUGCUGGAAAUAUAUGUGAUUUGGUUGUACCACUUAUAGGAGGCUGUGAAGCUGGAGGGCUCUGGAGCACACAGUUAAGUAAUAGUAUUGAUGUAUUUGCAUAAUAUGUUACAGACAACAUGAACUUUAGCAUUCACAAAUUAUUUUAAACCAGGCAGUAAUCUUAUGUUGUAGAUAGUUAUAUUCUCAUUUUGCAGAAAAGUAAAUUAAGAUUCACAUUGGGUGAAAUGCUGAUAAUCUCACAGCCAAAUGGUGGAGAGAGGAGGAAUAGAACCAAGGUUUCCUAAAUCCUACUUUACACAUAUGUACUUAAUUUAUAACCUAGGCAAGGGAGCAAAUGGAUUAGCUCUGUAAUUAAUGACGUGAGAGCAAGAGAGAUCUCAGAGCAGAAUUUAUACAAGAGUGUUGUCAGGAGAGAAGGUGACUGCUAGGCCUGAAUAGUUAAUCUUAAGUGGUCAUUCAAUUUUAUGUGAAAGGUGGCUUAGAAAUAAGAAGAUGGUGUGGGGGAUUGGAAUUGGCCACCCCAAGUUAUGUCUCUUUGGCAUGAGGAUUACUUUGGGCUGGUUACUUUGAAAAACUGCAGACACAAGAACCUCUGAAAAGUAGAACUUACCCUUUGUUAAGAAACAUUUACAUUUGUAAAGGAAAUCUCCAUCUUUAAAGGUGCCUCCCCCGCUCUGUACCAGGAAAAAGGGGGGAUGACCUUAUCUCUAGAAACUCUUAUCAAUGAGCAGGGCAAGGACUUAAAUCUGCAUAAUAACCUGACUCUUGUUUACUGUACUUUUCUGGUAACCUCCCAUAACUGACUCCCCCAAUUCCCAAUAUCCUCCUCUGUCUUUAGCUGAGGAGGGUAUUUAAGGUGAGAGCUUCCAGCAUUUUGGUGAGCUACUCAGUUUUUCUGGGUCUCUCCCA
rnacentral:lncRNA from 1 species